rnacentral:rRNA from 1 species
UACGAAGGGGACUAGCGUUGUUCGGAAUUACUGGGCGUAAAGCGCACGUAGGCGGAUUAGUAAGUCAGGGGUGAAAUCCCGGGGCUCAACCUCGGAACUGCCUUUGAUACUGCAAAUCUCGAGUCCGAUAGAGGUGGGUGGAAUUCCUAGUGUAGAGGUGAAAUUCGUAGAUAUUAGGAAGAACACCAGUGGCGAAGGCGGUUCACUGGUCCGGUACUGACGCUGAGGUGCGAAAGCGUGGGGAGCAAACAGG